rnacentral:lncRNA from 1 species
CCCCUUUCCAAGCAAUGCCACGCAUAGCCCAGGCUCAAAGGGCAGCUGAAAUAGCAGACUUGGCUGCAGCUGCUACCUGGAAAUUCAGAGGCUGUUGUCAUCCUUAUUUCGUCUGUCGCUAGUCAGCUGGAAAGCACAGUGACCUAUCAGCAUGGUGGAUUUUAUGGCAAAUUUCUACAGCCAAGACACAAAUGUUGACAGAUUUCCAGCGAGGUUCUCAUUGCAGUGCCACGUUGUCAUACACUUCAGGCCCGCUAAAAUGUCAGAAGACCCCUUCUGUUCUGUGGCGGCAUCCAGGUACGUAGAGAAAA